rnacentral:rRNA from 1 species
AAAAGCUUUCUUUAAUUGAAUAAUUGAAUUUAAUUUUUUAGUGCAAAAGCAAAAAUAAAAAUUAGGGACAAGAAGACCCUAUGAAUUUUUUAUUAAAUUUUAUAAAACUUUAUAUAAAAUUUAAUUUAAUUGGGNUGAUGGAAAAAGAAUAAAUAUCUUUUUUUUUAAAAAAAAUUGGUUCCGUUUUUAGCGAUUAAAUGAAAAAAAUACUCUAGGGAUAACAGCGUAAUAAUUUUGGAUAGUUCAUAUAGAUAAAAUAGUUUGCGACCUCGAUGUUGGAUUAGGAUUCUUUUUUGGUGAANAAGUUAAAAAAA